GAUGAUUUAACGGAGCAAGUGAAACAUCUAUUUUCAAAUGAAUCUGACGAACAUGACCUUGUGGUUCGCCAUUUUAUUGAUAUUCUGUAAAUUGUGGAUUAAACAAAAACAAACACAAAUAUGCCUAUGUAUAUUUUGCUAGUAAUUUGCUUAGUAAGUGCACAGAGAUUCGAUUCAAGCUACUGAGAUCAGAAACAAGGCUAUAGCAGUAUAAUUAAUUAAUCCUCAUGUCAGUAUAAAAUGAUUUCCACAACCGGCAACUUCUACAAUAACGUAGGAGGGAGCUGAUUGACUCAAUGGCUUCAGUGAUGUUUAAAAUCUUUCAUUCAGGACCUUCAACUCAAGCAGAUCUAGAUGAAAUUCGAACCACCAUCAUAGAUUCAUAAAUAAAAAAAUAGACUUUCCUAACUUAUUCAAAUCCAUCAAGAGCCUAUUCCAACAACUCAAAAUCUUAGUGGAGAACAAUACAUUCAGCAUUAAACAUCGAUUAAGAAUAAUAAAAAAAAAGCAACAGAACUUGAAACUUAGGAAAACAUCUCUUAAUCAGUAUGAGUCUUAACAGGUAUACAAUAAAGUUUAAUCCAUAAUUCAGAAUAAGAUAAUAAGUUAGGAUUUACAUACCUAAAGCAAAGAAAUAGAAGGCAAUGACCAAAUAAAGGUCAAGUUUGAGGGCAAAUGAAGCUUGAUUAAAUAGGAGCAGCCAAGCAGUAAUCAGCAGCCUCACGAGUUCAAAUCCAGCAGCUUCUAAACCCGAAAAAUUGUUCCCCAACUCUUUCCUUUAGAUCCUUUUCUAAGUUUUUUUUUGUCUCCCUUUUUGUGUGUGCUUGUGUAUGUACAUGAACGGGAAAGGUGAGAAGAGAAGAGUGUGGGGGGAAGCUGUGACUGAAGAGGGGGCAGAGGAAUGACGCCGACCUCUUGAAAAGGCGGGGGGGGGGGGGGAAUCUAAUGAGGGGUGCGUCGUUUGCUUCUGCUUGGGAUGGUUUUCUAAGGGGUCCGAUUUUUUGUCUUAGAUCUAGCCUCUCAUGUUAGGUCUAGGUCCCUUUUAAUAUAUCUAGGUUUUUAAUUAAGGGGUAGUGGGUUUGGGGCUAAUGGGUUUAAGCAUUUGGGCCACCUCUUUUGGCCCAAUUCCAUACAACCAAAUUCUUCCUUUUCCUUCUUUAUUAAGUUUUUGCAAACUCUAGCCAUUUAAAACUCAAACCUUAAUUAAAUCUAAUUUUAUAUGGCUAGCCUAUUUAUUUAUUUUGCCUAAUGAUGGAUUAAUGCAACUAAUUAAUUAAUUAACAUAAGAAUGCAUUUUUUUUAUUUUUAGUUAUUUAAAAGAUGCAUAUGGCAAUAUAAUUAAGUUCUAAAUGCAAAUUAAACCUAAGAUAGCUUGAAAUUAUAACGUGACAAUUUUUUGUGAUUUUUCUAUGAUUUUAAAAUAUUGAAAAUGCAUGAAAUGCAAUUAAAUAAAAAAACUUCUAAAAUCCCUUAAAAAUUAUUUUUGGUUUAUUUUUAGGAAUUAUUUUCAUGUAAGGCAAAAAUUAGGUGCUCACAGCUGUCCCUCUUUGCUCGGAAACAUGAAGAGUUUUCGAAAAAAGAUAAAGUGAGCAAUUACGAGCAAUUUUUGCCUGUUUAAAACUCUAUUUUGGAAGAAUUUUGAAAAAGUUUGACCGAACCUUGCUUCGGAGGUUGCCUACAUAUCCUUGGCUAUAAAGGAAUCAGGUCGGUGUAGUUCUGGAAAUUUUAGUAGCUGGGACUACCGAGACUGUGAUUUCACUGCUGUUGCUGUCGUUUCUGCUUGUUGAUCUCCUUAUUACACCGAAAUAAAAAAUAAAAAGCUAAACUAGCUAAGUCUAUCAAGUAUGAGUUACAAGAUUCUUGUCUAUAAAUCUUCUGAAGCUCGAUCUUGAGUCUUGACUGGAUGCGGACUCUGAUCUGAAUCUUGAUGCUCAUUAGCUGCGAAUGCUGGUUCAUUUUUCUUCAGCUCUUCGGAUCAAGGCGGGACAUGCAAAGCUUGUGACUUCAAUCACAUCUUGGGCAGUCCGCAUCUUUUCUUCGCUUCUGCACUUAGAGCUUAACUUCUUUUCUUUUCUUUCUUUUUUUUUCUUUUAUUCUAGAUUGGGAAUUCUUAUUUUGUUUAUCUCAAACCUUGUUCCUCACGGUGAAAACCUAUUUAGGCACCAAAGAAAACAAACGAAUGAAAUUUUUCUACCCCAGUUUUCGCUAGGAAAAUUUCGUGAUUAAUUGUAACAAAAUCUAAACUGUUUUUUAUUGAAAACAAUAAAAUCAGUAUUGUGUAUCCUUGGGAAAAGAUAUUAGGUAGUGGAGCCCUAUAUCUAUAUUAAAAUCAACCAGGGAAUGAAGACCCUAUGUUGGAAAAACGACUAGGGAGUAGAGACCCUAUGCCUAAAUAACUUCAACUAAGGAGUGGAGACCCUAUGUUGGAAAAGCGACUAGGGAGUAGAGACCCUAUGUCUACAAUAAAAUCAACUAGGGAGUGGAGACCUUAUGUUAAAAAAGCGACUUGGGAGUGGAGACCCUAUGUCUAAGAUAAAAUCAACUAGGGGGUGGAGAUCCUAUGUUGGAAAGGCGACUAGGGAGUGGAGACCCUAUGUUUAAAAAUAAACUCAACUACGGAGUGGAGACCCUAUGUCUAAAAAUAAACUCAACUAGGGAGUGGAGACCCUAUGUUGGAAAUACGACUAGGGAAUGGAGACCCUAUGUCUAAAAUAAAGUCAACUAGGGAGUGAAGACCCUAUGUUGGAAAGGCGACUAGGGAGUGGAGACCAUAUGUCUAAAAUAAACUCAACUAGGGAGUGUAGACCCUAUGUUAGAAAAGCGACUAGGGAGUGGAGACCCUAUGUUGGGAAAGCGACUAGGGAGUGGAGACCCUAUGUCUAAAAUAAAAUCAACUAGGGAGUGGAUAGCUUAUGNNNNNNNNNNNNNNNNNNNNNNNNNNNNNNNNNNNNNNNNNNNNNNNNNNNNNNNNNNNNNNNNNNUAAAAGUCUACUAGGGAGUGGAGACCCUAUGUUGGAAAGGCGACUAGGGAGUGGAGACCUUAUAUCUAAAAAUAAACUCAACUAGGGAGUGGAGACCCUAUGUUGGAAACACGACUAGGAAGUGGAGACCCUAUGUCUAAAAUAACUUCAAGUAGGGAGUGAAGACCCUAUGCGUAAAAUAAAAUCAACUAGGGAGUGGAGACCCUAUGUUGGAAAAACGUAACUAGAGAUUGGGGACCCUAGGCUACCAUGAUUUUGAAUUUUUCUUCUUUCUUCUUCUUUUUGUUUUAAGAAAAUGAAUAAAAAUGCAGGAAAGAAUUCGGAGGAGACUUCCCUUUUGGAUUGAUUAUUGCUUCAAAGCUGUUUCUAGACCUUGCACAGUUUCUCUUUGGUUGCACCUGCUUCUUGCAAGGUUGCUUUGGAUUGUACCUGUUUCAUGUUUUCAAACAACGAACAAUUGUUAGUUUGAAAUGGUGGUUGGUUUUGUGGCCUUGAUUGUUUCAAUCACUUGAUCUUGGCCCGGCUUCUUUGAUGAAGAUCUCAAUUGCAACUGCUCGUUUCUUGAGGACCGAUUUCAUUUCAGGCCCUGAGAACCUCUGAUUUUUUCCAGAUUUUGCCAUGACAGUUGGUCGGUGGAACUCAACCUUUUUGACUUUAUUCUGCCUUCGUAGGCCUUUCACUUCCGGCUUCUUUCUUCCAACAUCAAUUUCAGAGCAUUUGGGGUACCUUGGCUUUUUCAAAUCUUUGCUGAGACGAUUAGCCACGUGGAACUCAACCUUUUCAACUUCUAAGAGUUUUUAAUUUCAAAACAUCAGCCAUCAUGGCCGGUCGAAGUCGACUUGAUGCCCUUGCGAAGGCUGGGUGUCUUCUUGUAUAUUAGCUCAUGUCAAAUGAGAACCCUGUAAAUCAGUCUUCUCAUCCCUUCUUUGUCUCAGUUGCGGAAUAGAGUUAGACCGAAAGGAAUUCAAAGAAAAAUAAAUAAUGGACAGGAUGAUGAAUUUAAAACAAGUAGUGUCCCUUUCGAGGAAAGGAAGAAGGACUUAUCUGGGGUACAUGCGGACUUCAAUGAACAUGACAUGCCUUUUGGACUGGAUGCAUGAUCUGUGUAAACCGUCCGACUCUGAGAAAUUCAUCACAACUUUUGCCUCAAAAUCGAGAAACCUUGCCAGGACUCUUUCAGUGUCAAUGGUUGUAAGGUAUUCCUUCUUUUCGAUCAACGGCGCCCUUUGCGGGUUUUCGCCAAUUAACCUCUCUCAUUUCUCUUCUCACCGUCGCCUUAUAGUGCUCUUUACGAGUUUUCACAAACAAGACUCUCUCAUCUUCAAUUUCUCUGCUCACUAUCGCCUUACGGUGCCCGUGUGAGUUUUCACCAAUAAAACUCUCUCAUUUUAUUUCUCUCAUCUUGAUUGUAUUAGAUCUAAAUAGUUACGUUCUCCGAUUCUUAAACAUUCUCAUUGAUUGAUCGGAAGGACUUGAACAGGGUUCAGAGUAAAAGGAAUUUGGAUCAAAUUACAACUUUGGAAUCUUUUGGCGAACCGUCACUGAAUCAUUAUAACAUCUGUUCCACUUUCACUUUGGGGGGAAAUUGAAUUUUUGUUUUGGUGUGACUGAACCCCAGAGAGAAGUUGUCUACGUAUCCUUUCGGAAUCAAGUCGAACAUAGUUCAGGAAACUUUCUUUUUGAUUUUCUUUUGUUUUCUGUUUUGUUUUGUUUUCCCUUUCUUUUUCCUCUUUUUUUUUCAUUUCAUUGUCUUUUCUUCCCCCUCUUUUUUGUAUCUUUCUUUUCUUCUCUUUUUCUUUUUGCCCUUUUCUUCCUUUUUUGUAAUUUUUCUUUUUUUCUCUUUUCAUUUUUUUUCAUUUCAUUUUUUAUUUUUUAUUCAAUAACACUUUCAAGUUUCAAAGAGGGUAAUCAAAGAAAAGUAACCAGCUCAAAGGGUUUUCAAAGGAUUGAUAGUGUUUGGGUAACGAAAAUAAAAGCCUUCUUCAUCUCAACCGGAGAACAUUAUUGUUAUAUAGAAGAUCCAACAUAGUACCUUUUGACUGCACCUGGGUUGAGAGUUGUUUCAGGAUCUUUUCCUUCGACAUUUCCCAGGUACGACGCUCUCUUUGUAGUACCUUUGUUACCAUGUAGGAAUCUUUCCAAUUUGGAGCCAAUUUUCCUUUAACUGUUCCAACUCUUUGUUUUAUUUCCUAAAACUUAUCUUCAUUGCAAUCUAAUUCUUGAUUCAUUAUUUCAAUUUCUGACAACAUUUUAGGAUCCGAGCAUGAAGUCCGCAAGCAUGUCAUGUUAUUGAAAUCUGCAUUUGACAGAACAAAAAAGAGAAUAAGAAAAAUGACAAGAUUAAGAAAAGAGACAUUCCUGGACAAUGAAAUAUUAAUUUCAUUUGAUAUUUUUUAUUUUUCGUUUUUUUGUAUUAUUUUUUUCAAUUUUUUGAAGAUAGAAGGGUUUACAUCAGAAAGUAAGACAAUAAAUUAAAAUAUUCGUACCACACUCUAAGAUAAUCCGGACGCAGAAAGGAUAGCAAGACUGGAUACCGAUACUCCCCUCUGAUGGGGAACUUUCAUGCUUGGCGACCAUAUUUUGGCUUUUCUUCUAUCUCGGCAAUGGCUGCAAUGGCCUUCAGUGCCAGAUCAAGUUCCUCAUCUUCACAAAUCAUUCCGACUAUGCAAACCGAAACAAACAGAUGCGAAAGUAGCACGUAAGAUGCAUCAGGAUGGUCUUUUUAAUUUGGGUACACCUAUCCUAGACGGACUCAACCCCUAUGUUGAGUCCCCAAUGUCAAUUGCAUGUGAUGCAAAUAAGCGUUCCUACUAGGGAUCCGGCAUAAGGCUAUGUUAUUCUAGGUUUAAAAACCUGGUGUAUUUGUUCUAGACCUGGCUUACCCGAGCAGACAGCUCGAGCCGAUGGGGGGCAGCAUACUGGUAAUACAGAAGUUUCACCGGCUUUGCACCUUGUCCGAACCUCGUUCUAAAAUUGGGAUAUGACUCUAACAGAAAAUAAGUUACAUGAAGUGUACACUUCCCAGAUGAUUUAGAAGACUCAGAGAGAAGAGGAUUUCGUAACAGUUUAUAUACAAUUCAAACAAUAUCAAAGCGGUAAAAAGCGGCAUUUAGUACAUUAGGCCCAAACAUAUAAAAAUCAGAUAAUAAAUAAAGCCAAGUAUAACAGUCAUUCUAAGUUCGAAUUCUUGAACCCUAAACCAAAUGUUCUGGGUUAUGGUCCUCAGCAGAGUCGCCAGAGCUGUCACACUUCCUUUUGACCACCCGAGGGGGAUAUAAGGGAGUUUUUCUAAUUAAAGUGACAUUAAUCAAAAUGGUAUUAUUUUAUUAAAUUUAUCAGAUUCGCCACUUGGGAUAAUUAUUUGGUGUCCCAAGUCAUCGGUUUAUUUUGAAAUCCCAAAUCGAGGAAAUUUUGACUUUAUUUUUAAAAAGUCUGCGAACCAGAAAUUCUAAGUAAGGAAUUCUGUUAACCCGGGAGAAGGUGUUAAGCAUUUUCGGGUUCCGUGAUUCUAGCACGGUCGCUUAAACUAUUAAUAUUGCCCUAUUAUCUAAUUUGCUACAUAUUUUAAACAUAAUAUGCAUUUUUAAUUUUAUAGCCGCUUUUAAUUACUUUAAACUGCUUUUAGGAUUUAUGGAAUUGUUUCUUAAACAAGUUACGAUUGUCGUACACUUGCCGUUUUGGAACAUACCACAAAUUACGCUACAUGAAAUGUACCUGCGAUUCGCGAUACGUUUAUUUUUAUUAAUAUUUAAAGUUGUUAUGAUCGGGUUACAUGAAAUGCACCCCCGAAUUUUGGAACUAGGCAUCGUAACUAUGUCACGGGAACCGUACCCAUAGUCACGAUGGUAUAUUAAUCGCGCCUAAAGCAACUAGCGCGUGUAAAAAAAGGUUGUUUUUCUAUACUAAGUUAAUAUUAAUGCGAGGGCCAUAGCUUAUGGAUUUUAUUUGUGUAUGGUACACCUCAAAUUAUUUUAAGAAAAGGUUUAUAUAUUUUUUCUUCUAAGGAAAACUAAAGAUGCUCCUACUUUAAUCUAAUUUUGCAUCACAACCAUGUCACGGAACCGUACCCGUAGUUGUAAUAAUUUACAAAAAAAAAUGCCAAGUUCGCAAGGUUUCUCUCCAAAAAUUUCAACUACUGCCUACUUUCCAUUUUAGUGCAUUUCAAACUGUUAACCACUGUCGUAAAUAUAGCAAGUUUUUAUUCCUCCAAUAUUCAAACUAAUAUAAAAUAGUACUCUUUCCAUUGGAUCAACUUUGAGUUGACACCUCUAUACCUUUAUGCUCCUUGAUAAUCAACCAAAGUAAAAAUCGAAAUGAGAUAAAUUUGACUCAAAUCUUUUCCUUUGGUUUGUUCCUUUGGAUUCACAGACCCCGACAUCAGAUAUAGAAGCAGAGGUUCCUUUCUUCUAAGAGUAGAAACAAAAUGAAAGCUCCACUGCUCUCUUUUUCUUUUCACUUCAUUUGUUUUAUUUGUUGGAGGAUUUUGUUGAAAGUGUAUUAUAACAUAAAGAAAUACAGAUGAUUUAGUGGAGCAAGUGAAGCAUCUAUUUUCAAAUGAAUCUGACGGACACGACCAUGUGGUUCGCCAUUUUAUUGAUAUUCUGAAAUUGUGGAUUACACAAAAAAAACACAAACAUGCAUAUGUAUAUUUUGCUAGUAAUUUGCUUAGUAAGUUCACAGAGAUUCAAUUCAAGCUACUGAGAUCAGAAACAAGGUUAUAGCAGUGUAAUUAAUUACUCCUCAUGUCAUUAUAAAAUGAUUUCCACAACCGGCAACUUCUACAAUAACGUAGGAGGGAGCUGAUUGACUCAAUGACUUCAGUGAUGUUUAAAAUCUUUCAUUCAGGACCUUCAACACAAGUAGAUCUAGAUUAAAUUCGAACCACCAUCAUAGAUUCAUAAAUAAAAAAAAAUUAGACUUUCCUAAAUUAUUCAAAUCCAUCAAGACCCUAUUCAAACAACUCAAAAUCUUAGUGGAGAACAAUAUAUUCAGCAUUAAACAUCGAUUAAGAAUAAGAGAAAAAGCAACAGAACUUGAAGCUUAGGAAAACAUCUCUUAAUCAGUAUGAGACUUAGCAGGUAUACAACAAAGUUUCAUCCAUAAUUCAGAAUAAGAGAAUAAGUUAGGAUUUACAUACCUAAAGCAAAGAAAUAUAAGGCAAUGACCAAAUAAAGGUUAAGUUUGAGGGCAAAUGGAGCUUGAUUAAAUAGGAGCAACCAAGCAGUAAUCAGCAGCCUCAUGAGUUCAAAUCCAGCAGCUUCUAAACCCGGAAAAUUGUUCCCCAACUCUUGCCUUUAGAUCCUUUUCUAAGUUUUUUUUCCGUCUCCCUUUUUGUGUGUGCUUGUGUAUGUUCAUGAAUGGGAAAGGUGAGAAGAGGAGAGUGGGGGGGGGGGGGGGGGGGG
rnacentral:lncRNA from 1 species